rnacentral:rRNA from 1 species
ACGCAGCGAAAUGCGAUAAGUAAUGUGAAUUGCAGAAUUCAGUGAAUCAUCGAAUCUUUGAACGCACAUUGCGCCCCUUGGUAUUCCGAGGGGCAUGCCUGUUCGAGCGUCAUUACACCACUCAAGCUAUGCUUGGUAUUGGGUGCCGUCCUUAGUUG